GGCAGAUCUGGUGCUAUGGAGGACCUGCUUACUGCUAUGAGGUGUUACUUUAUAGAGGUCCUGGAGAAGCUGAUUGAGGCCACGUCAAUGUUGCAAGGAGACAUGAGACUCACAUCAGAGUUCUAUGGCUUAACAUGGGGGAUGGUGUGAAAAGAAACAGAGAUCGUUGGAGAAAUGUCUGAUUAUAAGAUAUUUCUAAGCCUGGUGAAGAAAUAUAUAAGAGAAGCCUGGAGAAGAACCAGUAAUACCAGAAAUCAGGGAGGGGCCCUGAAGAGAAAAGGAUAACAAAAGGAUGAAGACCUGUCCAAGGGACCCAGCAGCUAAAUUGAAAGAGCUCUCAAUGGGUAAAGCUGGAGCAAUUUCAACAACAAAAU
rnacentral:lncRNA from 1 species